UACGUAGGGGGCAAGCGUUGUCCGGAUUUAUUGGGCGUAAAGAGCGUGUAGGCGGUUAUGCAGGUCCGCUGUGAAAACUGGAGGCUUAACCUCCAGACGUCGGUGGAAACCGUAUGACUAGAGUCCGGAAGAGGAGAGUGGAAUUCCUGGUGUAGCGGUGAAAUGCGCAGAUAUCAGGAAGAACACCCGUGGCGAAGGCGGCUCUCUGGGACGGUACUGACGCUGAGACGCGAAAGCGUGGGGAGCGAUCCGG
rnacentral:rRNA from 1 species